rnacentral:rRNA from 1 species
UAAUACGAAGGGGGCUAGCGUUGUUCGGAAUUACUGGGCGUAAAGCGCGCGCAGGCGGUCUUCCAAGUCAGUGGUGAAAGCCCGGAGCUCAACUCCGGAACUGCCAUUGAAACUGUAAGACUUGAGGAUGAGAGAGGUGAGUGGAAUUCCCAGUGUAGAGGUGAAAUUCGUAGAUAUUGGGAAGAACACCGGUGGCGAAGGCGGCUCACUGGCUCAUAUCUGACGCUCAGGCGCGACAGCGUGGGGAUCAAACAGGAUUAGAUACCCUGGUAGUCCACGCCGUAAACGAUGAAUGCUAGCCGUUGGGCAGCUUGCUGUUCAGUGGCGCAGCUAACGCAUUAAGCAUUCCGCCUGGGGAGUACGGCCGCAAGGUUG